AAUAAUCCAAGCUGUACUCCCGUCUUUUAACACUUAACAGAUUUGGUGUAAAACAGCUUGACUGGCAAAAUCUAUAAUUGUACAGAUAAGUGAACAUGUUAGCUAGAUAAAGGUUAAACUAUCAGGGAUAUGUUCUCCAUCCGUCUAAAGCCAAUUUUACACAUUCAGCUCAAGCAACAGAGGGUGGGAAAAAAGGAGGUUUAAAAAAAACUGGCAAGUCAAUAUUGAUUGAUCUGGAGCCUUAGCAAUUACCUCCAUGUGCAGAAGACCAUGUUAAGGUCAGUAUUAUCUUAGCUCAUUUUAUGGGUCAGUGCUCUGGCUUCAGCUGAAAUAAAUUAAUGGGGUAAACACUUUAGCUCACCUUGAUGAAAUGGAUGAAGUGGAAAAGCUUUGCAUAGGUGGGAGGUACAGUGCUGCGGAGUGACCCUUGAUAUUUUCCCGAACGCCCAUAGGUCGUAAAAUCCCAGCAUUAAAUAACACUGACUACCCAGCGAUGAAACCAUAAGGCCAAUAAUGCACUGUUAAGAAGCAGUGGAGCUAUUAAAUUAAUCUCGUUUACGGGUUAACCAAACCCAUUCGCUUGAAUGGAUAGAUGUCCUACGGAAUAAAUAAAAGCGGUUACAACAGUGAUUUUCAUGAAUGAAUUUCUUCACAUCUGGGAGAUUUUUUUUUUUUUUAAUUAAAUGAAAAACAUUGUGGAGAAUACCAGGAGAAAUUAACCUUGUAUGUAUAUAUAUUUAUGUCUAUAUAUAUUAAUUUGCAUAUAUUUACUGCAUCAGGCAUUUUUUUCUUUUUUUUUUGCAGUUUAUUUCUUAAAAAUGUAUCAGGCAAUUUAUUUAUUUCAUUUUUUCGGUGGGAAAAGAAAAGUCACACUGAUGAUAUACAGGGAGUGCAGAAUUAUUAGGCAAAUGAGUAUUUUGUCCACAUCAUCCUCUUCAUGCAUGUUGUCUUACUCCAAGCUGUAUAGGCUCGAAAGCCUACUACCAAUUAAGCAUAUUAGGUGAUGUGCAUCUCUGUAAUGAGAAGGGGUGUGGUCUAAUGACAUCAACACCCUAUAUCAGGUGUGCAUAAUUAUUAGGCAACGUCCUUUCCUUUGGCAAAAUGGGUCAAAAGAAGGACUUGACAGGCUCAGAAAAGUCAAAAAUAGUGAGAUAUCUUGCAGAGGGAUGCAGCAGUCUCAAAAUUGCAAAGCUUCUGAAGCGUGAUCAUCGAACAAUCAAGCGUUUCAUUCAAAAUAGUCAACAGGGUCGCAAGAAGCGUGUGGAAAAACCAAGGCGCAAAAUAACUGCCCAUGAACUGAGAAAAGUCAAGCGUACAGCUGCCAAGAUGCCACUUGCCACCAG
ensembl:lncRNA